rnacentral:tRNA from 5 species
UCCUCUGUAGUUCAGUCGGUAGAACGGCGGACUGUUAAUCUGUAUGUCACUGGUUCGAGUCCAGUCAGAGGAGCCA